GUGGGCGGCCCCGGCGCUCGGGGGCCAGCGCGGCGCGCACGGAGCGGGCCCGGGCCUCGCGCCCACCCCCGCGCCCGGCCGGCGGCCGUCCACCCCGGGCCAGGUGACCCAGCCGGCGGUGUAGACCGGCUGGGCGGCCGGCGACCUGAGCAUGCCGCGCUGCGCGCCGCUCCGGCUCCCCGCGCCGCGCUCCGCCGGGAGACGGCCGGCUCUGGGUUCUCCGAUCCGGCAGGAAAGUCUACCGAAAAGUCUGCCUGCUCCGGGCCUUCAUGUGUUCUUGUCAGGGCCUUGUCCAGCUCCUCCUUUUCCUUUUCUCCCUGAGCCGAGCAUCCUUCCUGCCUCGGCCUCAGCCGCGGGCACAGCCGAAGUAAUGCGCGUCCCUGAAGACGGCGCCUCUUGGUUCCCCGUCGUCGGCCGGCGUGAGCGGGGGCGUAGGGCACCGCAGGGCGCUGUGCCAGCCUGCGUUUAGCAAUCCUCGAAGCUGAGCGUCCGGGCAGGACCUUGACGAGGCGGCAGACUUCCCGAGGCUGCCACCGUCCUGAGGCACAGGAUCCCUCGAGUCCUGCAGGAGGCUGUUCCUGGCGCUGUUGUGUCCUGGAAUUGUCUCCACUGAGCACUGAAGAUCCUGCCUGCCAGCUCCAGAGGAGAGCCUCCCUAGGACCUACGCUGAUGGGAGAGCUGGACUUUCUCAGGACCUUUUGAUGCCCUAGGAAAAGCUGUGGGCUGGGGUAGAAAUGGCCGGGUGCUCAGUCUGUUUUCUGGUAUCUGAAUUCUUUCAUUUCUAAACUGUGGAAGAAACAGCCCUCAUUGAUAGAUAAAAUGAGCAUUUAUUGAGU